UGGGGAAUUUUGGACAAUGGGCGAAAGCCUGAUCCAGCAAUGCCGCGUGUGUGAAGAAGGCCUUCGGGUUGUAAAGCACUUUUGUCCGGAAAGAAAUCCUUGGCUCUAAUACAGUCGGGGGAUGACGGUACCGGAAGAAUAAGCACCGGCUAACUACGUGCCAGCAGCCGCGGUAAUACGUAGGGUGCAAGCGUUAAUCGGAAUUACUGGGCGUAAAGCGUGCGCAGGCGGUUUGCUAAGACCGAUGUGAAAUCCCCGGGCUCAACCUGGGAACUACAUUGGUGACUGGCAGGCUAGAGUAUGGCAGAGGGGGGUAGAAUUCCACGUGUAGCAGUGAAAUGCGUAGAGAUGUGGAGGAAUACCGAUGGCGAAGGCAGCCCCCUGGGCCAAUACUGACGCUCAUGCACGAAAGCGUGGGGAGCAAAACAGGAUUAGAUACCCUGGUAGUCCACGCCCUAAACGAUGUCAACUAGUUGUUGGGGAUUCAUUUCCUUAGUAACGUAGCUAACGCGUGAAGUUGACCGCCUGGGGAGUACGGUCGCAAGAUUAAAACUCAAAUGAAUUGACGGGGUCAUAGCUGUUUCCU
rnacentral:rRNA from 1 species